GACGAAGGAUGCAAGCGUUAUCCGGAUUCAUUGGGUUUAAAGGGAGCGUAGGUGGACUGAUAAGUCAGUGGUGAAAUCUUUGGGCUUAACCCAAAAAUUGCCAUUGAUACUGUUGGUCUUGAGGCAUCUAGAGGUAACUGGAACAAACGGUGGAGCGGUGAAAUGCGUAGAUAUCGUUUGGAACGCCCAAGGUGAAAACAGGUUACUGGGGAUGUACUGACGCUGAGACACGAAAGCCAGGGGAGCAAACGGG
rnacentral:rRNA from 1 species